UCGAACGGUAACGCGGGGAGAAGCUGUGCUUCUCCCCGGCGACGAGUGGCGAACGGGUGAGUAAUACAUCGGAACGUGUCCGCUCGUGGGGGACAACCAGCCGAAAGGUUGGCUAAUACCGCAUGAGUUCUACGGAAGAAAGAGGGGGACCCGCAAGGGCCUCUCGCGAGCGGAGCGGCCGAUGACUGAUUAGCCGGUUGGUGAGGUAACGGCUCACCAAAGCAACGAUCAGUAGCUGGUCUGAGAGGACGACCAGCCACACUGGGACUGAGACACGGCCCAGACUCCUACGGGAGGCAGCAGUGGGGAAUUUUGGACAAUGGGCGCAAGCCUGAUCCAGCUAUUCCGCGUGUGGGAUGAAGGCCCUCGGGUUGUAAACCACUUUUGUAGAGAACGAAAAGACACCUUCGAAUAAAGGGUGUUGCUGACGGUACUCUAAGAAUAAGCACCGGCUAACUACGUGCCAGCAGCCGCGGUAAUACGUAGGGUGCGAGCGUUAAUCGGAAUUACUGGGCGUAAAGGGUGCGCAGGCGGUUGAG
rnacentral:rRNA from 1 species